rnacentral:rRNA from 1 species
GACGAACGCUGGCGGCGUGCCUAACACAUGCAAGUCGAACGGAACUGUUUUGAAAGAUUUCUUCGGAAUGAAUUUGAUUUAGUUUAGUGGCGGACGGGUGAGUAACGCGUGAGUAACCUGCCUUCAAGAGGGGGAUAACAUUCUGAAAAGAAUGCUAAUACCGCAUGACAUAUCGGAAUCACAUGGUUUUGAUAUCAAAGAUUUUAUCGCUUGAAGAUGGACUCGCGUCCGAUUAGUUGGUUGGUGAGGUAACGGCUCACCAAGACCGCGAUCGGUAGCCGGACUGAGAGGUUGAACGGCCACAUUGGGACUGAGACACGGCCCAGACUCCUACGGGAGGCAGCAGUGGGGGAUAUUGCGCAAUGGGGGCAACCCUGACGCAGCAACGCCGCGUGAAGGAUGAAGGUUUUCGGAUUGUAAACUUCUUUUAUUAAGGACGAAAAUUGACGGUACUUAAUGAAUAAG